UUAAAUCAAAACUACUAGAUUAAUGAAAAUGAAAGUGCUGGUAUAAUAAUAUGGUUGGUUCCAACAAACAGGAGCCAGCUGAAGCAAAUGGGUAGGUAGAUUAGAUAUGAACUCCAAAAUUUGACAGAAAUCUAGGCAAGUCUUUGAAAAUUUGUAUCUUCGAUGCAAGGACUACGAUAUUCAUAUUCAUAGAACAAAACGUAAUUUAAAUUAAAAGAAUUAUUGAUAUUAUACUAAAGGUGUAUUAUAUUUAAUUAUUUAUAUUAUAUAUUAUUAUAUAGACUAUAGAGUGUGCCGGUGGCCCGGUGUAAAUAGACACGCCUUGAUUCCCAAAGCAAAUUCCAAAUCUUCCCCCACUUCCUAGGGCUUCGAAUCUAGCUUUCACUCAGAAUCGACUCACAAUGGCAACAGCAGCGAUCGAAACGAGCCAACCGGUACGAGCAUCGUCGACCGAUGCGUGCGCCUCCAAAACGGCGACGGCGAAGCAAGGCGAGGGUUUGAGGCAGUACUAUCUCCAACACAUUCACGAUCUUCAGCUCCAGGUCCGCCAGAAUACUAACAAUCUCAAUCGCCUCGAAGCGCAGCGCAACGAUCUCAAUUCCAAAGUUCGGAUGUUGAAAGAAGAAUUGCAACUGCUUCAAGAGCCUGGCUCAUAUGUUGGUGAAGUAGUCAAAGUAAUGGGAAAAUCAAAGGUCUUAGUGAAGGUUCAUCCAGAGGGGAAGUAUGUUGUUGAUAUAGAUAAGAACAUAGAUAUCACAAAGCUCACGCCAUCAACUAGAGUUGCACUUCGCAAUGACAGCUAUGUGCUUCAUUUGAUAUUGCCCAGUAAAAUAGAUCCUUUGGUAAACCUUAUGAAAGUUGAAAAAGUUCCAGAUUCUACUUAUGACAUGAUUGGUGGUCUUGACCAACAAAUCAAAGAGAUAAAGGAGGUCAUCGAAUUGCCAAUCAAACAUCCAGAACUAUUUGAGUCUCUUGGAAUAGCCCAACCAAAGGGAGUUCUUCUUUAUGGGCCACCUGGUACUGGGAAAACACUAUUGGCGAGGGCAGUGGCUCAUCAUACUGAUUGUACAUUUAUAAGGGUUUCUGGAUCUGAGUUGGUUCAGAAGUAUAUUGGUGAGGGUUCUCGAAUGGUUAGAGAGCUUUUUGUUAUGGCCAGGGAGCAUGCUCCGUCAAUUAUCUUUAUGGAUGAAAUCGACAGUAUUGGAUCUGCUCGAAUGGAAUCUGGAUCUGGCAAUGGUGAUAGUGAAGUGCAGCGGACAAUGCUGGAGCUUCUCAAUCAACUUGAUGGAUUUGAAGCGUCUAAUAAAAUCAAAGUUUUGAUGGCUACAAAUCGCAUUGACAUUCUGGACCAAGCUCUUCUGAGGCCUGGAAGAAUUGACAGGAAGAUAGAGUUCCCAAAUCCCAAUGAGGAGUCCCGUUUUGAUAUUUUGAAAAUACACUCAAGAAAAAUGAACUUAAUGCGUGGCAUUGAUUUGAAGAAGAUUGCAGAGAAGAUGAAUGGCGCAUCUGGUGCGGAACUAAAGGCUGUUUGCACUGAAGCUGGUAUGUUUGCGCUGAGGGAGAGGAGAGUUCAUGUGACACAAGAAGAUUUUGAAAUGGCGGUGGCGAAGGUGAUGAAGAAGGACACGGAGAAAAACAUGUCCUUGCGAAAGCUGUGGAAGUGAUUUCUUCAGUUGGCAUGAAGUCAUGAACCUCAGUGAUUUUUGAGGUUCAAACCAGAGCAUUGCCCAUCUGAAAACAUCGUACUGACGUCCACACGAGAUAUGACCCCUUCGUCGCCCAAUUCUGUUUGGGUUUACGGUUUAGUGGUGAGCUUGAUUAGAGGAGCAACACGAACAUCAACGGAAACCGGUGUCUGCAAUGGGGUAGUCUCUGUUGAUCGGAGAUUUCUUCAUCUUCUUCAUUUGUUUCAUCUUUUAACCCCAGCAAUGGGGUUCUAAACAACAUCCCUGUGUUGAUGAAAACACUCUUCACUAAGGGCGGGCUGUAGCUGGCAGAGGUGCCGACAUCGCCAUGGGAGAGAUGGAAGAGCUGUGAGAAGAGGAAGAAGGAGAGCCAUAGGAGAUAAUUGGCCAUCCUGCAGACAGAAUCUAACUGGAGAGGAAGAAGAUCGAAUACUGUGCAAUUUCCAGCUUCUUGUAUCAAUCCCCUAUAUAUAUAUAUAUGGAGGAGCUGCCACAUCAAAAAUAAAAAAAAAUUAAAGACUGUUUUGUUUGUAGGGUCGGUCCCAACCCAUUUUGUUGAAUGGUACCCAAGAAAGAAUUUUAUUAAAUUAAAUUGCCGGCUCGGCUCCUCCCUU